rnacentral:rRNA from 1 species
GUCUACGACCAUACCACCCGGAAAACACCGGUUCUCGUCUGAUCACCGAAGUUAAGCCUGGUCGGGCGAAGUUAGUACUUGGAUGGGUGACCGCCUGGGAAUACUUCGUGUUGUAGAGA